rnacentral:rRNA from 1 species
UACGUAGGGGGCUACGCGUUGUCCGGAUUCAUUUGGGCGUAAAGGCGCGAUGUAGGCUGCAAUAUAAGUCGGAACGUGAAAAGCCCUCAGCUUAACUGAGGAAGUGCGUUGAUACUGUAUCGCUAGAGUGUCGGAGGGGAUGGGCGGAAUUCCCGGUGUAGAGGUGAAAUUACGUAGAUAUCGGGAGGAACACCUGUGGGCAAGG